GACGUAGGGCGCGAGCGUUGUCCGGAUUUAUUGGGCGUAAAGAGCUCGUAGGCGGUCUGUCGCGUCGGCUGUGAAAACUCGGGGCUCAACCCCGAGCCUGCAGUCGAUACGGGCAGACUAGAGUGCGGUAGGGGAGACUGGAAUUCCUGGUGUAGCGGUGGAAUGCGCAGAUAUCAGGAGGAACACCGGUGGCGAAGGCGGGUCUCUGGGCCGUUACUGACGCUGAGGAGCGAAAGCGUGGGGAGCGAACAGG
rnacentral:rRNA from 1 species